UCCCUGGAGGACUAGUGGUUAGACCACAGCACUCUCACCGCUGCGGCCAGGGUUCAAUUACUGGCCAGGGAG
rnacentral:tRNA from 1 species